UUGCUCUUCAACGAGGAAUGCCUAGUAAGCGCAAGUCAUCAGCUUGCGUUGAUUACGUCCCUGCCCUUUGUACACACCGCCCGUCGCUACUACCGAUUGAAUGGCUCAGUGAGGCCUUGGGACUGGCUCAGAGAGGUCGGCAACGACCACUCAGAGCCGGAAACUUGGUCAAACUUGGCCAUUUAGAGGAAGUAAAAGUCGUAACAAGGUUUCCGUAGGUGAACCUGCGGAAGGAUCAUUAAAGAGUUAGGGUCUUCUAGGCCCGACCUCCCAACCCUUUGAUUAUUGAACCUCAGUUGCUUCGGCGGACCCGUCUUUAUUGACCGCCGGAGGAUCGUCCCAGGGCGUCCUCUGGCCCGCGUCCGCCGAUGGCCAACCUCUAAACUCUUGAAUAAUCGUGUCCUAUGUCUAAGUCAAAUGAUAAAUUAAAGCAAAACUUUCAACAACGGAUCUCUUGGUUCUGGCAUCGAUGAAGAACGCAGCGAGAUGCGAUAAGUAAUGCGAAUUGCAGAAUUCCAGUGAGUCAUCGAAUCUUUGAACGCACAUUGCGCCCUUUGGUAUUCCGAAGGGCAUGCCUGUUCGAGCGUCAUUAUCAUCCCUCAAGCCUGUGCUUGGUGUUGGACGGCUUGGUCGCGCCCCCGGGCGGGACCCCUCCUAAAGACAAUGACGGCGGCCUGUGGUUCCCCCGGUACACUGAGCUUUUCAUCGAGCACGUAUCGGACAAGGGCGCCCAGGACCCGGUCCCCCGUCUCGCGAGAGACACUUCUCAAGGUUGACCUCGGAUCAGGUAGGAAUACGCGCUGAACUUAAGCAUAUCAAUAAGCGGAGGA
rnacentral:rRNA from 1 species